UUGUAUGGAUGCACCCAUUCCACAUCUCUUGUUCCCCCUUGGGGGUAAUUCUUAAAGUUGUAUGCCUUCGUUUAAUCUUGCAAAGGCAGGCUGCAGGAAGAGUUCCCUGUUUUGCCUCAGGUGCUGCCCCGAAAUGCUCAAAUUUGUGUGCUUUCUCCUAGUUCUCCAGAAUAGGGCAGGCUUCUGUGCUUGUUUUGCAAGCUGUCUGUAAAGGCUCACACUAUAUAUCUGUGGGGGCAUGCAUGAGGAACUGGCCAAAGUGGGGUGGGUGAGGUGCACACAACAUAGAAGUUGCUCUUGGGCCAUUUGAGGGAAUAUGCAGGCAAGGUAUUGCCAGAGGCUCAUGGGUAGGCUCCUUUAUGAAUUCUGUGCAGCAUUUAGUUAGAUCCACAGCCCUCUGAUGAUUUGGAGCCAUUAUUGCUGUGCUUCCAGCUCUUCCAAACCCGCAGCCUUGCGUAUCACUUCAGUAGUCUAGGUGGGGCAAGAAAGAAGUGGACUUCUUGGGCAAUAUCCUGCUUGGCUGGAGAAACCAUGUGCUCAUACAGUAUAUUUUCACUUUCCCUGUGGGAGAAAUUGCAGGCUGUUGGGGUUUCUCUUGGCACUGAGCAGUGCUCUCUUCGGGGAUGGAUGAUUCAGAUUUAUUUAUUUAUUUGAGAGAGAGAGAGAGAGGGAGAGAGAGACUCAAGCUGACUCCACACUGAAGGCAGAGCCCCACCGAGCCGAAACCAAGAGCCCAGCGCUUAACUGAUUGAGCCAUCUAGGAGCCCUAAUCUCUCCCUUUUUCAAAUGUAAUAAUGAUUAACAUUUCUUGGAAUAUGUCUUGCAUGUUUCUCGAUUGUUUCAGUAGGCUCCAUGCCCAGCGUGGAGCCCAACCUGGGGCUUGAACUCACCACCCUGAGAUCAAGACUUGAGCUGAGAUCCAAGAGUCAGACACUCAACAGGCUGAGCCACCCAGUCCCCAAUGGCUAAAUCCCACUGGAACCAGUAGGAAGAGAGCAAAAUAGAGAAGGGAGUGAAUCUGGAGGGGCAAAUGGAAGAUAUCUGGCAUGAGAUAUCAGAUAUGUCAGCUUGGAUAUCACCUUUGCUUUCAUCUCUGGAUCCUGAGUGCCUAGCGUAAGGAUUAGAUCAGCUUGAUGAUUAAACAGUUGUUUUUAAGAAAAUUACAACUACUGGAUUUUUGGCCAUCACACAUUCUCCAGUUUUAUUUAGAUCUGCCACAAUGAUAGCUGACAUGAACAGCAUAUAAUAUGUUGCUCUGAAUGGCAAGGAAGUAUGACUUCUGAAUGUGAUUAAUAAAACAGUUGAGAGUUUUUUGCCAAGAGACGUUCCUCAGAGAAAUCAUUCCUUUUCUUUGAAAAUGCCUCCCAAAGAAUGCUGACUUUAAUGUAUGCCAGGACCCAUUGACAAGUUUCAUACCUGAGGAUUCUUCAGAAUAAAUCUAAUUAAGAUGUGUCAAGGGUGUCCCAAUGCAGAAAUUGUCAUAGCUAAAUAAAUGUAGGAAGAAACAAUUUUUCUUGGCUUCUUUUUUGAAAUGCUUUUCAAAUAAUUUUUUUAAAAAGAUUUUAUUUAUUAUUUUAGAGAGCGAGCGAGAGAGAAACAGCAUGAGAGGGGAGAGGGUCAGAGGGAGAAGCAGGCUCCCCGCUGAGCCGGGAGCCCGAUGUGGGACUCGAUCCCAGGACCCUGGGAUCAUGACCUGAGUCGAAGGCAGACGCUUAACCAUCUGAGCCACCCAGGCGCCCGCUUUUCAAAUAAUUUUUAAUUGAGGUGUAAUUGACAUAUAGCAUUAUAUUAUUUUCAGGUGUACUACAUAAUAAUUUGAUAUUUGUAUAUGUCGUGCAAUGAUCACCACUGUAAGUCUAGUUAAUAUCUGUCCCCAUACAUAGUUAUGAAUUUUUUUCCUCGUGAUGAGGACUUUCAAGAUUUACUCUUAGCAACUUUCAAAUACGCAAUACAAUAUUAUUAACUAUAGUCACCAUGCUAUACAUUGCAUCCCCAUGACUUAUUUUAUAACUGAAAGUUUGUACCUCUUGACCACCCUCACCCAUUUUGCCAUUCUAGCCAUUCUGACAGGUAUAAGAUGGUAUCUCAUUGUGGUUUUGAUUUUCACUUUCCUGAUGAUGAGUGAUGUUACAGAUCUUCUCAUGUACUUGUUGGCCAUCUGUAUUUCUUUAAAGAAUAACUUGUUUUAUCAGUAGUACAAUUCUAUAAGGGAAUACUUUAAACAUUUAGCUUCUUAAAUUAAUAAUUUCCUGAAGUUUGAAAGGUUGUAUAUUAAUAUAAUGUUAUAAUAAAUAAAGAAUAUGUAUCCCAUAGUAAUGUCUAAAGUAGAAUAUUAGAUAUAUAUUUAGGAAUUCCCUUCCUGCUUCUAGUUAAAUAUUUAGCUUAAUUAUUUUACUAUUCAUUCAUAAUACUAUUCAUUAUUUCAUUUAAUGCCAAUUGUUUGUUAAUUAGAGAACUUCUUAAAAAUUCUAAACAAAAUUAGCAGUAUGUUAUGAGCAUUUUUUUUCUAGAUAAUUUUGUGUUCAGUGAAUUAAAUAAUACCUAAUUUAUUUUUCUGUAACUCUCUAUAUAAGGAAUAUUCAGAGUAACUAAAGAUUGUCUGUUGUCUCUGUAGAUUCUGGAAACAUUUCUGAGAGUUUUCUCUCCAGCUAUUAUAAAUGCUUUUAUUUUGGGGGGAAAGGACCUUUUCCAUUGUAUACUAUAAGGCAUAGCAAUAUAUUAAAAAGGAUUGUUAUUAUAGAUUUCUAAGUCAGUGCAAAAAUUUAAAUUAAAAGUCAUAUAACAUAGUGAUUCAACAUGAAACAAAAGCCGAAUGACUAAAGCAGACUAUUACAUUCUUUAGCUUGUCUUCACAACUGGUUUGAGUAUCCACAGUCCAGAAGUAAUGGUUCUGCUUCAAUUUUUAGAAAAUGAAUUUCAUAUCUAGCGGGAUACUUGCAAUAUGCAAACAAAUCAGAUUAAUAGAAAUUUAGCUUCUUCCCUGUAUCAGAUGAUUUCUUCAAGUUACAGUGUGGAGGAGAGGGAACCAAAUUAUUGGAAAACUGCUAAAGUGACUGCUUUUGCAAAUAUCCGAAUGACAUAUUGCAUAAAAGACCUAUAAACUAUUAAUAGAAGACUCUUAAAGUUAAACCAUGGAUUUUUAAGUUCUAACACCAAAAUAUUCCUUUAAAAUAAAUAUAUGUGCAAUGGAAAGAAUAGUUGUAUGUCAAAUUAGCUUUUAGUACUAACCACUUGGAGGAAAGCAUGGAAAUUAUUCUUGGAAAGAUGGAAAAAGCUAAAUCAUUUAUUGGAACUGAGAAAAAGCCAAUGUAUUUGAAAAUAUUUAUUUUCAGAUAAACAGUUGAAUAGUUGCUUAAGAAUUCAAAUGGUAUUAAAAGGUCCAUAGGAUUAUUUGCCAAAUCAUCAACAUUUUUCAAACUUUUUUCUUUGAUGCUUCCAUUUUCUGCUGUAAUUUCUAAAUCUAAUGGCAUGAAGAACGAUUUAACAAGACUAGAUAAAGCACUGCAUACUUGAGAGACCAUGAUUCUGUAAAAUAACAUAGUUCUGAAUAUACAUAGAACACAUAUUUGUCAUUACUAAGAAAGAGAAUAAAACAAACAUCAUUU